GAAGGGACCUAGCGUAGUUCGGAAUUACUGGGCUUAAAGAGCACGUAGGUGGUUAAAAAAGUUGGUGGUGAAAUCCCAGAGCUUAACUCUGGAACUGCCUUCAAAACUUUUUAACUAGAGUGUGAUAGAGGAAAGUAGAAUUUCUAGUGUAGAGGUGAAAUUCGUAGAUAUUAGGAAGAAUACCAAUUGCGAAGGCAACUUUCUGGAUCAUUACUGACACUGAGGUGCGAAAGCAUGGGUAGCGAAGAGGAUUAGAUACCCUCGUAGUCCAUGCCGUAAACGAUGUGUGCUAGACGUUGGAAAUUUAUUUUCAGUGUCGCAGCGAAAGCAUUAAGCACACCGCCUGGGGAGUACGACCGCAAGGUUAAAACUCAAAUGAAUUGACGGGGACCCGCACAAGCAGUGGAGCAUGUGGUUUAAUUCGAAGAUACGCGCAGAACCUUACCAACACUUGACAUGUUCGUCGCGACUUUAAGAGAUUAAAGUCUUCGGUUCGGCCGGACGAAACACAGGUGCUGCAUGGCUGUCGUCAGCUCGUGUCGUGAGAUGUUGGGUUAAGUCCCGCAACGAGCGCAACCCUUACUUUUAGUUGCCACCAUUUAGUUGAGCACUCUGAAAGAACUGCCAGUGAUAAGCUGGAGGAAGGUGGGGAUGACGUCAAGUCCUCAUGGCCCUUACGUGUUGGGCUACACACGUGCUACAAUGGCACUCACAAUAGGAAGCAAAGAGGCGACUCUAAGCAAAUCCUAAAAAAGUGCCUCAGUUCGGAUUGUACUCUGCAACUCGAGUACAUGAAGCUGGAAUUGCUAGUAAUCGCGGAUCAGCGCGCCGCGGUGAAUACGUUCCCGGGUCUU
rnacentral:rRNA from 1 species